AUGACAUGCUUGAGCUGGAACUGCCGGGGGCUUGGGAACCCCGAGGCAGUUUGCGAGCUUUGCAGUAUGGUGAAGCUAGAAGGACCCACUCUUCUCUUUGUGAUGGAAACGAAAAUUCAAGCAAAAAGAGUUGAGGCUUUGAAGUACACUCUCGGUUUUGGAGGUUGUUUUGCAGUCGACAAUGUCGGCCUAAGUGGUGGCAUUGGUCUGUUCUGGUCACGUGAUGUGACUGUUGAGUUGAAAUUUUUUAGCAAGUGUCACAUUGAUGUGGUGGUUCAUAGUAAUAAUCAGAGUUCAUCGGUUUGGAGGUUUACUGGUUUUUAUGGGGCGCCGAGAGCAUCAGAUCAUGGUGAAAGCUAG
rnacentral:rRNA from 1 species